rnacentral:rRNA from 1 species
AACGCGAAGAACCUUACCUGAACCUUGACAUGUCGGGAAUCCUGCAGAGAUGCGGGAGUGCCUUCGGGAAUCGGAACACAGGUGGAGCAUGGCUGUCGUCAGCUCGUGUCGUAAGAUGUUGGGUUAAGUCCCGCAACGAGCGCAACCCUUGUCCCUAGUUGCCAGCGAGUAAAGUCGGGAACUCUAGGGAGACCGCCGGCGACAAGCCGGAGGAAGGGGGGGAGGACGUCAAGUCAUCAUGGCCCUAUGUCCCAGGGCUCCCCCCGUGUUCCAAUGGAACGCACAAAGGGUAGCGAGCCCGGGAGGGGAACCCAAUCCCAAAAACCGUUUCUCAGUCCGGAUCGGAGUCUGCAAUUCCACUCAGGAAGUCGGAAUCGUUAGUAAU